GACGAACGCUGGCGGCGUGCCUAGUACAUGCAAGUUGAGCGCUGAAGGCUGGUACUUGUACCAACUGGAUGAGCAGCGAACGGGUGAGUAACGCGUGGGGAAUCUGCCUUUGAGCGGGGGACAACAUUUGGAAACGAAUGCUAAUACCGCAUAAAAACUUUAAACACAAGUUUUAAGUUUGAAAGAUGCAAUUGCAUCACUCAAAGAUGAUCCCGCGUUGUAUUAGCUAGUUGGUGAGGUAAAGGCUCACCAAGGCGAUGAUACAUAGCCGACCUGAGAGGGUGAUCGGCCACAUUGGGACUGAGACACGGCCCAAACUCCUACGGGAGGCAGCAGUAGGGAAUCUUCGGCAAUGGACGAAAGUCUGACCGAGCAACGCCGCGUGAGUGAAGAAGGGUUUCGGAUCGUAAAACUCUGUUGGUAGAGAAGAACGUUGGUGAGAGUGGAAAGCUCAUCAAGUGACGGUAACUACCCAGAAAGGGACGGCUAACUACGUG
rnacentral:rRNA from 1 species